GAAGUGACCUUGAACUGAGGUUUGAGAAGUGAGGAGCAGGGAUGGAUGAAGUGGGAAGAAGAUGGGGGUGGGGGAUGAAGGUGUGAAAAGCCUAGAACCUUCUGAGGAGCUUCCUCCAUGGACAGAGGAGAGGGAGGCGGUUUAGGAAAUGGUGGCAGGUGGGCAUGGAAAGUAGGAGGCAGUCAGAUCAGAUCACACGGGACUGGGUAGACCUUGCGGAGGGUUUGGGUUUGUACUAGAGUUUGAAACGCGCUGCGAUCUGCAGUUUUAAGUUCGUUGCUGUGGUAUCAGUGUGGAGAGUAGAUUUUUCCAAGACUCUAACUAGGAUUAUUCUCAGAAAUUUAGGUUCAGCAUGGUUGAGACCUGAGGGCUGGUUGUGAGUAAAUUCCUCUUCUGGGUUCUACUCCAGGGCUCUUGUCCUACUUCAGAGAAGGUGGCAAGGGGAGCCUCGUCCCCCCAUGGAAGGUGGGUGAGUGCCUGCCCCUGGGCAGGGGUGGAGGGUCACCUUACAUCCCCACCUAUUAUGAUUUGUUUAUACCAAAACCUAAUGAUCAGUGAUUUACGUGUGACAGCACCUGUGAGCCUGAGGGUAAGUUGGCUUUUUGCUCUUUGAAGUGCUCCUUGAAAAUAGAGCAAUGGAUUGAAGACAAAGUGGAGAACAAAAAAGCCAGUGGGACUGGGGACAGGAGACCUGGGUGCUGCUCCCAGCUCAGCUGCAACAGCCAGGGUGUCUUACCCACUUUAUCCCUGUGGGUUGUGCUUACCUCACCUGUAAAAUGAGACCUUUACAGUAGCAUGGUCCUUAGGGUCCAUCCCAUCCAGCUCUCAGCCUCUCCAGUUGUGAUUCUGCCUCCCUGGUGGUCCCCCUAUCCCCAUCAACCCUAACCUCAGGCUUCCAGACAUUCUGAUUAAUAGGAAAACCAGUAAAGCCAUGUGUUUCAACUACCUUGUAGUUUAAAGAAUAUAAUCUAGUGAACAUGGGAAAUAAUUUUCAAAGGAAAAAAAUUGUGACUCAUGUUCCGUCUUGCACUGAUGGUAAAGGGGAAGCACAAAGCCACCUGCACACACCUUCUUUUUCUCUUUCUUUGCUUGUCCCUCUGCAAAAGUACAGAGGCGAUUCGGUGGGGAUUCUGAAGGGAUGAUGGGGAAGGUUGACCUAUGGGAAGCAGAGUUCUGCCACUUUCCAAAGAAGCAGUGCAUACAUACUUGGCAUAAGUGGCCAUUCAGGUGGAUCUUGGGCAGAAUUUUGAGUAACUAUGACCAUCUUUGCUUUGUAAAAUUCUCUUGCACCUCUCAACUCUUUCCAGCACCCUCAUGGUAUAUUCUGGCUGCUCAGAGUUCAACCCUAGGUGCAUCCUCUUAGCUCCAAAUCACCCUCUGCUCUCUUUCACCCAAACUAACUUCUCCUAAAGCUGAAUGAUGAUGUAGAUGUUCUUAGGGAUAAGGAAGAAUUUCUAAUGCCUCUGGCCUAUCCCCACCAACAUGCCCCCCCCAAGCACACACAUACAGAAUAUACAUAUCUCUUCAGUCAUCAAAUCCUGCAAGGCGGAGUUCCCAUCGUGGUGCAGUGGUUAACGAAUCCGACUAGGAACCAUGAGGUUUUGGGUUCGAUCCCUGCCCUCGCUCAGUGGGUUAAGGAUCUGCCCUUGCCGUGAGCUGUGCUGUAGGUCGCAGAUGCGGCUCAGAUCCUGCAUUGCUAUGGCUGUGGCGUAGGCCGGCAACUACAGCUCUGAUUAGACCUCUAGCCUGGGAGCCUCCAUAUGCCACGGGAGCAGCCCUAGAAACAGCAAAAAUUUAAAAAAAAAAAAAAAA
rnacentral:lncRNA from 1 species